UACAGAGGGGGCAAGCGUUGUUCGGAAUUACUGGGCGUAAAGGGCGCGUAGGCGGCCUGCUAAGUCGAACGUGAAAUCCCUGGGCUCAACCCAGGAACUGCGUCCGAUACUGGUUGGCUUGAAUCCGGGAGAGGGAUGCGGAAUUCCAGGUGUAGCGGUGAAAUGCGUAGAUAUCUGGAGGAACACCGGUGGCGAAGGCGGCAUCCUGGACCGACACUGACGCUGAUGCGCGAAAGCCAGGGGAGCAAACGGG
rnacentral:rRNA from 1 species